UACACUCCUACGGGAGGCAGCAGUGGGGAAUAUUGGACAAUGGGCGCAAGCCUGAUCCAGCCAUGCCGCGUGAGUGAUGAAGGCCCUAGGGUUGUAAAGCUCUUUCACCGGUGAAGAUAAUGACGGUAACCGGAGAAGAAGCCCCGGCUAACUUCGUGCCAGCAGCCGCGGUAAUACGAAGGGGGCUAGCGUUGUUCGGAUUUACUGGGCGUAAAGCGCACGUAGGCGGACUAUUAAGUCAGGGGUGAAAUCCCGGGGCUCAACCCCGGAACUGCCUUUGAUACUUGUAGUCUUGAGUUCGAGAGAGGUGAGUGGAAUUCCGAGUGUAGAGGUGAAAUUCGUAGAUAUUCGGAGGAACACCAGUGACGAAGGCGGCUCACUGGCUCGAUACUGACGCUGAGGUGCGAAAGCGUGGGGAGCAAACAGGAUUAGAAACCCCAGUAGUCCC
rnacentral:rRNA from 1 species